rnacentral:rRNA from 1 species
GAUGAACGCUGGCGGCGUGCCUAAUACAUGCAAGUCGAGCGAACGGACGAGAAGCUUGCUUCUCUGAUGUUAGCGGCGGACGGGUGAGUAACACGUGGAUAACCUACCUAUAAGACUGGGAUAACUUCGGGAAACCGGAGCUUAUACCGGAUAAUAUUUUGAACCGCAUGGUUCAAAAGUGAAAGACGGUCUUGCUGUCACUUAUAGAUGGAUCCGCGCUGCAUUAGCUAGUUGGUAAGGUAACGGCUUACCAAGGCAACGAUGCAUAGCCGACCUGAGAGGGUGAUCGGCCACACUGGAACUGAGACACGGUCCAGACUCCUACGGGAGGCAGCAGUAGGGAAUCUUCCGCAAUGGGCGAAAGCCUGACGGAGCAACGCCGCGUGAGUGAUGAAGGUCUUCGGAUCGUAAAACUCUGUUAUUAGGGAAGAACAUAUGUGUAAGUAACUGUGCACAUCUUGACGGUACCUAAUCAGAAAGCCACGGCUAACUACGUG